CCCACAAGUGUUAGGAUCCUCCUCAGCGCUGCCUGCUCCUGUAAUUCCCGCAGAAAGGAACAGCUGACCAGAACCCUCAGUGCCAGCUCCCAUCUCUCUGUUUUGUCCUGAUGAGCUUUACACCAGAGGAGAAUUACAGCCUGCUCUGUGGCGAGCAAUUUGAAGGCAUAAAGGAAUGCAAUCGUGGAAUAAAACCCGCUCUGUGUGCCGUGAGAUAACUUCACCUGCCACAGAAAACGAGCGGUGACUCGGAGGCAGGCAAACAGAAUGGUGAGCGCGCCUUGGGCUACGUUUGCAGCGUGUUUUCUUGGGAGAUCAAAGCUUCAAUCCCAUUAACCCUUCAAAUGUCAGCCUGGUCAGCCUUCAUUACCCUCCUGGCAAGUGGCUGAAUGAGGUUUUCUUGGCCAGCAGAGCCAUUUUGGAGCAAAUUCAGAUUUUUUGGGUGCUUGUUAAAGACCUCUUGGACAUCAGAAUCCCAGAAUGGUUUGGUGUUGGGAAGGACCCCAAAGAUCCUCGCAUUCCAAAGAUCCUCACCUUCCACUGGAGCUGGGGACAGAUGGAUUGAAAAGUUCCUGGGAUUCAAAGGCAUCCCAGGAACACCUUCCACUGGAGCUGGGAACAGAUUGAAAAGUUCCUGGGAUGACAAGGCCAUAGAGGGUUGUGGCACCAUCCUGGGGAUGUCCCACCACAGGCACCUCCAGAAGGAGGCAUGGAGCUGUCUCUGAAAGCCCUGGGAGACACAAAAACCCAGCGGUGAUGGAAUCCACAGUGGGGAACAAACUUAUUUGGACGUUCAAGCUGGAACAGGUGAACACAAACUUUCCAGGUGGCUCGCAGAAAAUGCGACCUGGAUCCAAAUGGCCACUGAGAGCUGAGCCCCAAACCUCCUCAGACAGCCAAAGAUGGAGAAGAAAAGUCAAAUUUAACCUUCCACAGGUUGUCCUGACACAGGAAACAUUUCUAAGUUUAUCCUGCAACCAAAGCAUUUGUGAUGUGUAAAUUAUUUCAUUUUUCUCUGUGCUUUUUGGAGGGUGGAUCCUUACUCCAACAAGGUGAAAACGUUAUCAUUUUUUCUCUAGUCACAUAAAAACCUUCUGAGACAGAAUUUCUUCUUCAGGCACCCUUGAGAGCUCUCUGGAAGCCAGUCCAAUUUUAUAUUUCCCUAUAAACCCCAAUUAGGUGGGACUCCAUAUGCUGAGAGAGACAUUUUGGCUUUCUGCAGCCUUGCCCAGCAGCCUGGCACUCGCUGAAAUAAAUCACAGCUCUUUGUGGAGCUGGACGUGGCCAGAGGUGGACACAGAGGAGCUGAACACGAUGAUCUCAGAAGAGAUGCUCUGAAUUAAGCAGGAGGUUGCUAAGCCACCAGACUGCUGCAGUCUCCAACCAAAGUUACAGCGCCGAGUCCUUGCACAAAACGGGGUUUUCCAAGGGAAAAAAAAGUCUGUAAGGACACAACCUGAGCUGGUUAUGGCUGGAAAAACUCCUGAAGUCAACCAGGAUUUCAUCUUGUAUCUCUUACAGCAUCCACCAGCAAAAGCAAAGAGCCCCUUGCCCCAAAAUCUGAAGUAUGAGACUAAACCACUCCUUGCUCCCUGAUUAUAUUUAUUUAUAUGGACAUUAAAAUAAAAAUAAUAUUUAAUUUCCCCCGUUUUUCAUUGUCUGCCCCAGUUUUUCCCCAAGGAUGGCUCAGCACAUAUCUCACACCAUCAUUUUGAGGGCUGAGACUGGAUGGGCUUUAAGAUCCCUUCCAACCCAAACCACUCUGGGCUUUUAGGAUCUUUCUAGAAAGUUUUUCCCACCUCUCCAGCAGCCAGAGAGGGUUAAUUUGGCCUUUCCCUGGACCUAGACAGGCAGCACCUGCUAGCAGGGGUGGGGUGUUCCUUUGCGCGGCUUG